rnacentral:tRNA from 1 species
ACCUGGCUGGCUCGGUUGGUAGAGCAUGCGACUCUUGAUCUCAGGGUCAUGAGUUCAAGCCUCACGUUGGGCA